UGCCAGACUCCUACGGGAGGCAGCAGUGAGGGAUAUUGGUCAAUGGGGGAAACCCUGAACCAGCAACGCCGCGUGAGGGAAGACGGUUUUCGGAUUGUAAACCUCUGUCCUCUGUGAAGAAAAUGACGGUACCUGAAGAAGAAGCCCCGGCUAACUACGUGCCAGCAGCCGCGGUAAUACGUAGGGGGCAAGCGUUAUCCGGAUUUACUGGGUGUAAAGGGGGCGCAGACGGCGAUGCAAGCCAGGAGUGAAAGCCCGGGGCCCAACCCCGGGACUGCUCUUGGAACUGCGUGGCUGGAGUGCAGGAGGGGCAGGCGGAAUUCCUGGUGUAGCGGUGAAAUGCGUAGAUAUCAGGAGGAACACCGGUGGCGAAGGCGGCCUGCUGGACUGCAACUGACGUUGAGGCCCGAAAGCGUGGGGAGCAAACAGGAUUAGAUACCCGAGUAA
rnacentral:rRNA from 1 species